GACGAACGCUGGCGGCGUGCUUAACACAUGCAAGUCGAACGGAAAGGCCGUACUUUGCUGCGGUGCUCGAGUUGCGAACGGGUGAGUAACACGUAAGUAACCUGCCCGUUACUUGGGGAUAACUUCAGGAAACUGUGGCUAAUACCGGAUAGGAGCUGCUGCUGCAUGAUGACGGUUGGAAAGUUUCGGUGGUUGGGGUUGGACUCGCGGCUUCUCAGCUUGUUGGUGUGGUAGUGGAAUACAAUGGCUUGGACGGGUAGCCGUCCUGAGAGGGUGACCGGCCACAUUGGGACUGAGAAACGACCAAGACUGCUACGGGAGGAAGGGGUGGGAAACAUUGCGCAAAGGGCGGCAGGCGGAUAGAGCAACGUCGGGUGGGGGAUGACGGCCGUCGGGUUAUAAACAGCGUUCGACUGUGAAGAAGAGUGAGUGACGGUAAUGGGUAAGGAAGCACCGGCUAACUACGUG
rnacentral:rRNA from 1 species